GCGUACGCACGCGUGUGCGUGGCCGUGAAAUACACUCUUGUUACUUACGUUUGCGUACGGUUCACGUGUAGACAAGUACAAGUGCGGUCAAGACUGGAGACGAAUUAUUCUUUGCCAGUGUGUAGAGAAGGUUUCAGUUGAUUUUAGACUGAAUUUACUGAGCUUGGAGUUGUUUCGCAAGAUCUUUUGUUCAUCAUGGCGU